GCAUUGCAACUCUUCGAAGAGAAGAAUGUGACAUCUUGUGUCGUUUUCCAGAGGCAGCUGCAUAAAUCACAGGAGACUGAAUACAGGAGAAGAUGUAAGAAUCCAGUCAGCUUCUAUCAAACCAGACAUAAAAGACAUUUGCAGAUAUGUAAAACAAUGCCACUCUUCACAUUGCAUUUUUAAAAAAUAUUAUUUCCCAGAAAAUAUAUCAUCUAUGUUAAUAUGGAA